rnacentral:rRNA from 1 species
UACGGAGGGCAGCAGUGGGGAAUAUUGCACAAUGGGCGCAAGCCUGAUGCAGCCAUGCCGCGUGUAUGAAAAAGGCCUUCGGGUUGUAAAGUACUUUCAGUCGUGAGGAAGGUGUUAAGGUUAAUAACCUUAGCAAUUGACGUUAGCGACAGAAGAAGCACCGGCUAACUCCGUGCCAGCAGCCGCGGUAAUACGGAGGGUGCGAGCGUUAAUCGGAAUUACUGGGCGUAAAGGGCACGCAGGCGGUUAAUUAAGUUGGAUGUGAAAUCCCCGGGCUUAACCUGGGAAUGGCAUUCAAGACUGGUUAGCUAGAGUCUUGUAGAGGGGGGUAGAAUUCCAUGUGUAGCGGUGAAAUGCGUAGAGAUGUGGAGGAAUACCGGUGGCGAAGGCGGCCCCUGGGACAAAGACUGACGCUCAUGUGCGAAAGCGUGGGGAGCAAACAGGGAUUAGAUACC